UACAGAGGGUGCGAGCGUUGUUCGGAAUUAUUGGGCGUAAAGGGCGCGUAGGCGGUGUUGUAAGUCACCUGUGAAACCUCUGGGCUUAACUCAGAGCCUGCAGGCGAAACUGCAAUGCUGGAGGGUGGGAGAGGUGCGUGGAAUUCCCGGUGUAGCGGUGAAAUGCGUAGAUAUAGGAAGGAACACCAGUGGCGAAGGCGACCACCUGGGCUCAUACUGACACUGAGGUGCGAAAGCGUGGGGAGCAAACAGG
rnacentral:rRNA from 1 species